rnacentral:rRNA from 1 species
AUUGAACGCUGGCGGCAUGCCUUACACAUGCAAGUCGAACGGCAGCACGGGAGCAAUCCUGGUGGCGAGUGGCGAACGGGUGAGUAAAGUAUCGGAACGUGCCCAGUCGUGGGGGAUAACGUAGCGAAAGUUACGCUAAUACCGCAUACGAUCUAUGGAUGAAAGCGGGGGAUCGCAAGACCUCGCGCGAUUGGAGCGGCCGAUAUCAGAUUAGGUAGUUGGUGGGGUAAAGGCUCACCAAGCCGACGAUCGGUAGCUGGUCUGAGAGGACGACCAGCCACACUGGGACUGAGACACGGCCCAGACUCCUACGGGAGGCAGGAGUGGGGAAUUUUGGACAAUGGGCGAAAGCCUGAUCCAGCCAUGCCGCGUGCAGGAUGAAGGCCUUCGGGUUGUAAACUGCUUUUGUACGGAACGAAAAGGUUUGGGCUAAUAAGCUGAGCUCAUGACGGUACCGUAAGAAUAAGCACCGGCUAACUACGUGCCAGCAGCCGCCGUAA